CGACAGGGGCGGAGGCACCUGCAGUCGAGCGGUAACAGAAAGUGAGCUUGCUACUUUGCUGACGAGCGGCGGACGGGUGAGUAAUGCUUGGGAACAUGCCUUGAGGUGGGGGACAACAGUUGGAAACGACUGCUAAUACCGCAUAAUGUCUACGGACCAAAGGGGGCUUCGGCUCUCGCCUUUAGAUUGGCCCAAGUGGGAUUAGCUAGUUGGUGAGGUAAUGGCUCACCAAGGCGACGAUCCCUAGCUGGUUUGAGAGGAUGAUCAGCCACACUGGGACUGAGACACGGCCCAGACUCCUACGGGAGGCAGCAGUGGGGAAUAUUGCACAAUGGGCGCAAGCCUGAUGCAGCCAUGCCGCGUGUGUGAAGAAGGCCUUCGGGUUGUAAAGCACUUUCAGUCAGGAGGAAAGGUUAGUAGUUAAUACCUGCUAGCUGUGACGUUACUGACAGAAGAAGCACCGGCUAACUCCGUGCCAGCAGCCGCGGUAAUACGGAGGGUGCGAGCGUUAAUCGGAAUUACUGGGCGUAAAGCGUACGCAGGCGGUUUGUUAAGCGAGAUGUGAAAGCCCCGGGCUCAACCUGGGAACUGCAUUUCGAACUGGCAAACUAGAGUGUGAUAGAGGGUGGUAGAAUUUCAGGUGUAGCGGUGAAAUGCGUAGAGAUCUGAAGGAAUACCGAUGGCGAAGGCAGCCACCUGGGUCAACACUGACGCUCAUGUACGAAAGCGUGGGGAGCAAACGGGAUUAGAUACCCCGGUAGUCCACGCCGUAAACGAUGUCUACUAGAAGCUCGGAGCCUCGGUUCUGUUUUUCAAAGCUAACGCAUUAAGUAGACCGCCUGGGGAGUACGGCCGCAAGGUUAAAACUCAAAUGAAUUGACGGGGGCCCGCACAAGCGGUGGAACAUGUGGUUUAAUUCGAUGCAACGCGAAGAACCUUACCUACACUUGACUU
rnacentral:rRNA from 1 species